UCCUGUAUAGCUCAGUAGGUAAAGCAUCCAUCUGCAAUGCGGGAGACCUUGGUUCGAUCCCUGGAGAAGGAA
rnacentral:tRNA from 1 species